AAUCAAUAGCCUCACAAAUAGAGAACAUGACCCGCAAGGAAUAACUACCGACGAUGACGACGACGCCUCCGACUCAAACGCCACACAAUUUCCAUCCUUCAACAGUUUGUAUCCCAUCGUCCCCAAAUCCAAAGAAUCCACCGAGAAAUAAUCUCCACACCGACACUGGUAACUAAGUUCCAACCCAUCUUCCACUACCACCACCACCAUAUCCUCCAAAUUAACGUCUUCCCAAGCUUCGGAGUCCUCGUCCUCCUGCUGCUGCCUUGACGCACGAAGAUUGUUGUCGUAAGCAGCCCGUAACCUCGAAUCGCUCAGGAUUUCCCAAGCUUUCUGGACCUCGAUGAACUUGUGUCCUGAAUCAGACGCUUUAUCAGGAUGGGAAUCGAGGAUUGCAGAUCUGUAGCCGCUGCGGAUUUGUUCGUAGCUUGCGCCCUCUUUCACGGAUAGAAUAUCAUAAUGUGUUUUCUGCAUUGCAGGAGAGGGGAAGCGUCUGAUUGCCACCGAGCGAGGAAACUCAGUCGGGAAUCUGAAUUGCAGCAGAUAAAGCUAAAAUGAGGAGAAAUCAAUCUACUUUGUAAUCGAGAUUUCAAUUCACCAAGGGAUUAGGGAUUCCAAGCUGCUGGAGAAUUUUGUAGCGAUCAUCCGCCAUUGUCAAUUAUGCUGAUUUAUUGGGCUGGAAGGUCAUCUGGCGAG
rnacentral:lncRNA from 1 species